AGCUUUGCGCAGUGGCAGUAUCGAAGCCAAUGAGGUUUAACUGAGGCGCGAUUAUUGCUAAUUGAAAACUUUUCCCAAACAACUAUGAAGCUCCAGUUCAUAUCCAUUAGAUUUUUUCCCCCCAAGGCAUUUGGGG